rnacentral:sRNA from 1 species
UUAAGAACCAGAAUGCUUUAUUAAUCCACAGAACAAUUUGAGCACGGGCAGCAGGAGUGCAAGUUCCCUAAAUUACCCCACCAAUGUUCCUCAACACUAACUUGGAGGCAUACUGUUAGAAAUGAGAGACUAGAUUAGUCAAUGUCGCCU